CACCAUGGGUAGUGGGUUGCAAAAGAAGUAGGUAGCUUAACCUUCGGGAGGGCGCUUACCACUUUGUGAUUCAUGACUGGGGUGAAGUCGUAACAAGGUAACCGUAGGGGAACCUGCGGUUGGAUCACCUCCUU
rnacentral:rRNA from 1 species